AAUGAACGCUGGCGGCGUGCCUAACACAUGCAAGUCGAGCGAGAAAACUCCUUCGGGAGUUAGUACAGCGGCGGACGGGUGAGUAACGCGUGAGAAUCUGCCCUUUAGUGAGGAAUACCCUCGAGAAAUCGAGGUUAAUACUGCAUACGUCCCUUCGGGGAGAAAGAUGGCCUCUUUGCUGUCGCUAAAGGAUGAGCUUGCGUACUAUUAGCUAGUUGGUGGGGUAAUGGCCUACCAAGGCGAUGAUGGUUAGCCGGCCUGAGAGGGUGUACGGCCACACUGGAACUUAGACACGGUCCAGACUCCUACGGGUGGCAG
rnacentral:rRNA from 1 species